CCUUCUUUGUAGAAUUAAGAUAAUUUUGAUUUUGUAGCCUUUGAGCUAAAAUAACUUUUGUAAAGAUUAAGCUCACUUAGAUUUUUUUUAAAGUAUUGCAGCGGGAUCUGCUGCAGGGUUCUGUUGUUUUGUUUUGCUUAUUUUUAAAUUAACUGUUCAAGCUUUUGGAUACUGCAGGCUUUAGAGGGAGAACCCAAAUUUUCAAUUAUGUUGGCUUUUUAUAAAGCUUGAGUUAUGUAAGAUUUAAAUAAAAGUUUGCUACCAAGAUGAUUGCCUUAUUGAAUAGGUCACUCCUAAGGCCCUUUAAGUGUUGAUACCUGCCAUUGGUGGAGACAGUGUAAAUUCUACAGAAGUGUAAAACAAGGCAAGCCUCAGACCAGCAAUAAAUUAUUCAGUUUGGCUAACCUUAUUUUGUGCUGUUAAUCAAAUCUACCAAAGUCUUUUG
rnacentral:lncRNA from 1 species